CACGUAGUUAGCCGGGGCUUCUUAGUCAGGUACCGUCAUUUUUUCUUCCCUGCUGAUAGAACUUUACAUACCGAAAUACUUCUUCACUCACGCGGCGUCGCUGGAUCAGGGUUUCCCCCAUUGUCCAAUAUUCCCCACUGCUGCCUCCCGUAGGAGUUUGGGCCGUGUCUCAGUCCCAAUGUGGCCGUCCACCCUCUCAGGCCGGCUACUGAUCGUCGCCUUGGUGGGCCGUUACCCCACCAACCAGCUAAUCAGACGCGGGUCCAUCAUAUACCACCGUAGUUUUCACACUGUCUCAUGCAAAACUGUGCGCUUAUGCGGUAUUAGCACCUAUUCUAAGUGUUAUCCCCUCGUAUAUGCAGGUACCACGCGUUACUCACCCGUCCGCCACUAACGUCAUCAACAUUCCACUCUUAUCAAGCUAUGUCUCAAAAUAGAUGACUCCGUUCGUACUUGUCAUGUUGUUAAGUCACGCCCGCCGACG
rnacentral:rRNA from 1 species